UCCCUUUCAAUAUGCUUCGUAC
rnacentral:siRNA from 1 species